AUGCCGCCGCCCCCCGCCCGCCGGCCCGGAUUGGCGCCGCCCCGGCCGGUGGCCAUCGCGCAGUCGGCGAAGCCGACGAAGGGACGAGGAGGCAGCGUCAAACGGCCGGCCAAUCGCAGCCGCAACCCGGGCGACAGUUCUACACGGCCGUUGAAGCUCUCGAAGGCGGCCGCGGCGGCUCGGGCCGACGAGUCGCAGACGGUGCGGCCGGCAGCCUCCUCCAGCAGCCACACAUCCAUUCCUCCACCUUCCCCGCCGCCACCGCCGGCCGUGGAGGAAGAUGUGGCCACGUCGACGGCCACCGCCUCCAACAUGUUCGACGAAAUGUCGCAAAGGUAUAAAUUUUGCGGUUGUGAUCUCGGUUGUGCUCUCCUUUCAUGCACGCAACAAAAUGCGGCAAAUGAUGAUUACAUAUAUGAGUCACAAGAAUAUGAAACCCAAUAUGAUGAUGACAAUCUUGAUGUGGAUGAUGAGGGCUUCAUUGUCAAGGGAAGAAGUGGCAAUUAUAGCACCGCGGAGGAUGUGUUGACAUGCACCGCUUGGAAGAAAAUCUCUCAAGAUGCAAGCGUUGGAAGCAACCAAACGGUGAGCACGUAUUGGAAACGCAUCAAGGAGUAUUCCGAUGAGCGCAACACAAGUGGUAUCUUCCGUUCGAGCGACUCUCUACGUCAACGUUGGUCCACCAUCAAUGCCGAAUGCUCAAAGUGGGGCGGUUGCUUGUCAAAUGUUGCUCGCAUGAAUCCAAGUGGUUGCGGUGAUAGUGAUUUGAAAAUGAUUGCACAAGGAUUGUUUUGCGAGAGGAACAUGAAAGGCGAGAAGAAGAAAAGGAAAGGAAAAGCUUUCACUUUUCAUCAUUGCUACAAAGAGCUCAAGGAUGUGGAGAAGUGGAAAACUAGGGAGACUUUUGAAUCGUCGAAGAAGAAGAGUGUGUUGGUUGAGGAUGAAGAAGAUGUCGCCAUUGAGGAGACGAGCCCCACUCCUCACUCCGCGACAAAAUCAUAUAGGCCCGAUGGAAACAAGAAAGCGAAGGGAACCAAGGCUGGAGACAAUGAUCUCAAGGAAGGAUUUGAAGCCAUUGAAAUAGAGGAGAGGAGUGACGCCGAGCAGCGAAGGGCGGCGGCCAAGGAGAAGAGGGCGGCAGCCAAGGAGAGGUUGGCCGCGGCUGAGGAGAGGAAGGCAAAGGCAUAUGUUGAACUUUGUCGCGAUGAAAUGCUCAUGAAGAAGCAAAUGCUCAUGAGGCAAAUGAUGAUGGGAGGAGGCAUGGGAGAUGCCAUGGGUGGUGCCAUGGGAGGUUACAUGAACAUGAUUGGAGGUGCCAUGAGUGGUGCAUUUGGCGGAAACAUAGGAGGUGGCUUCGGUGGCAACAUGGAAGGUGGGUUUGGCGGCAUGGGAGGUGGGUUUGGCGGCAUGGGAGGUGCUUUUGGCGGCAACAUGAUGGGUGGCUUGGGAGGUGGCUAUGGCGGCAACAUGAGUGGCGUUGGAGGUGGAUAG
rnacentral:rRNA from 1 species